rnacentral:lncRNA from 1 species
CCUCCCUUUUGGCAUCCCUCUAAUGGCUAUAAAUUAGCCUGGAUGGUGGGUGUUCGAGGCAAUUCAGAUCGAGUUUUCAAUUUUAUCUCUGUUGCUCUCCUUUCUUUCUUGCAACCUAUUUUAGUUUUAGGAUAAGGCUUUGAAAUUUAAGGCAAAGCCUUAUCUGGUCCUAACAAGGGUUGUGAGGGUUUUAAAGAAGGAGAAUUAAAAGUCUAAAGGAGAUUCUGAGGGGAUAGAGUCGGGUUCUUGAAGAAACUUGACUGAUACGAGGCUAGUCGAGUUCUAUGGGCUAGAACUCUUGAAGCA